rnacentral:rRNA from 1 species
UGGGGCUAAUACCGGAUAGAUGAUUUUUCCUGGAAUGGUUUUUUGUUUAAAUGUUUUUUCGCCUAAGGAUGGGUCUGCGGCAGAUUAGGUAGUUGGUUAGGUAAUGGCUUACCAAGCCUAUGAUCUGUACGGGUUGUGAGAGCAAGAGCCCGGAGAUGGAACCUGAGACAAGGUUCCAGGCCCUACGGGGUGCAGCAGGCGCGAAACCUCCGCAAUGUGAGAAAUCGCG